UGAAUAAUAUCAAUUAGAAAACUGAAUAGAGAAACAAAGGAGUAUUGAAAUCUUCUCUCUACAAGGAGUUCUGAUCUCUCUCUCUCCAGAAGCUCUCAAGGUUUUGCAAUAGAAUUCAGCCCCUUGUUUCUAAAACCUAAAAAGUACUUAAAUAUGUCCAAAACACGUCAGGGACCAAUGUUGCAACUUGGGAAAACUCUGAGCAACUUUUGUAAAUCUUCAAAAUUUGGAAAAACUCGAAAUCUCUCGUCAGGCACAUGGUGUCGAUCGACACUGGUAGGUGGUGUCGAUCGACACUCCUUCACAGAACGUCUCCAAGACAGGUUACUCGGCUCCUUUGCUCCAAUAAGCUCCAAAUCACUCCAUUUUGAUCCAAUCAUUGUGAAAUAACUCCUACACCUGAAAAGACUCCAAAAGACCCUAAAAAGUAUAGAAAGACUCGAUAAAAA
rnacentral:lncRNA from 1 species